UAGGGACAGGUUCUGCACCACAGGGUGGUGGGCAUGGGAUGGGCUGCCCAGGGCUGUGGGCAUGGCCCCAGGUGCCAGAGUUCAGGGAGUGGUUUGUUCACUGUUCUCAGGCACAGGGUGUGGAUUUCUAGUGGUGCUGUGUGGAACCAGGAGUAGAUGAUCCUCGUGGAUCUUCUCCAACUCACAAUGUAGUGUGCUUCUGCAAUGUGAACAGUCGUACAGGCUGUGCAUCUCUGUGACUUGUACAAACUUCAGGAGAUGGCAAGGAAAGCCUUUUUCCUAAGCACUGUGAAUGAGAUGAUAAGAAUAUGGAAGUUAAGGAGCAUGGAUGAAAAUAUUGAAUUUUCUGAUACUCAUCCAGUUAGAACACAGAUAGGAAUGGAGUGCUGAUCAUCCUGUUACAUGCAAGCAUACAUACUUAAUGAUAUAAUUCCUUAAGUAGAUUGCCAGAGUGAAUUCACAGACCUCUGUAGCCUUAAACAUGACUGAGACAAAUUUAGCUUCUGAAAAAAAAGCAAUGUGAAUAAACAGUAUUCCACAAUAUAAUAAAAAGGACUGAACAAAUGAUCUGUUGUGGUCUUUUAUCCUUGAUAGAUUUUUACUACAUGCCAUUCUUUCAAAUAUG